CUGCUCGGAAAUCCAUGGGGGCGGCGGCCCGGGGGGUCCUGGCCGCAGGGGGGCUGCGGGGCGGCCGCGCUGCUGCGCCGGGGCCGGGCUGGGAGCUCCCAUUUGGCGGCCCCGCUCCCCGCGGGGAGGGCAGCGAGGGGAGAGGGGCGAGGGGCGAGGGGGCGCGGGGGGCGUGGGGUGCCAGGCUGCCGCCCCGCCGCGGGGCAAGGGGGAGCGAGAGGCGGAGAGAGGCGGCGCAGGCAGACAGACAGACAGGCAGGCAGGCAGGCAGACACACAGACAGACAGAGCGCCGGUGCGGGGCGGGGGGCGGCACGGCCGGACGGCCGGAGGGACGCCGAAUGGCCCCGCCGCCCCGGCCCCGCCGCCCCUCGCCCCGCUCCGUGCUCUUCCGACGGGACUUCUCGGCGCUGCCCCGGGGCCGCGGCAGGUGACCGAGCCCCCGGCGGCGGCGGCAGCGCGGCCGCGGCAUCGCCCUUCCCGGCGCCGUCGGGGGAACCGGUGUCCCCCCUCUUCACCCCCACACCGGCUCCCGGCGGAGCUCCCGGUGCGCGGCUCCCGGUGCGCAUCGCUGCCGUCCUGCCGCCCGUGCCCGGUCGGCCCCGGCCCCGCGCCCCGGGUACCGGCUCCAGUCCCCCGGGUACCGGUCCCAAUCCCCCUGGGACCGUCCCCAAUCCCCCGGGGACCGGCUCCAGUCCUCCGGUACCGGCUCCAAUCCCUCGGGUACCGGCUUCAAUCCCCCUGGGACCGUCCCCAAUCCCCCAGAUACCGGCCCCGCGCCCCGGGGACCGGCCCCAAUUCCCCGGGGACCGGCUCCAGUUCCCCGGGGACCGGCUCCAGUUCCCCGGGGACCGGCCCCGCGCCCCAGGGACCGGCCCCAAUCCUCCGGGUACCGGCCCCAGUGCCCCGGUACCGGCCCCAGUGUCCCGGGGACCGGCCCUAGUCCCCCGGGGACCGGCCCCAGUCGCCAACCGCCCUCGCCCUGCGCAGCCCUCUCCCCCCGGCCCCGGGAGCGGCUGCUCGGGGAUGUUGCGAGGCUGCUGCCAGGCGGCUGGGCUGCGAUCAACCUGCCCCGAGAGGAGCGACCCCGCUGUGCAAAUGGAGGCUGUGGGCUCCCUCAGCGGGCCGGGGGCGCUGGGCUGGACCCCGGGGGCCGAGCACGGUGCAGAGCCCCCCUGGACGGCUCGGCUGGGCGGCUGGACCACCGGGGGGGGGGGAACCAGUGGCCGAAAUGCUCGGGACACGCGGCCAGCCCCUUCCCCUUGCGACCCACAGCGUGUGCCGGGGCAGAGGCGAGCCUCGCGCCCCCUUUUUUUUUGCAGAGGGGGGUUCUGUCAUGCCAAGGGGCGCAGCCCUGCCUGUGCUGGCUCCCCCCAAAAAAAUCAGUGUGUAAAACAAAAGCCCUGCACGGCAGCUGCACAGGAUGGAGGCAGAGGGUGGCUUCACUGGGGCUCAGCACGGAGACACCGCAUCCCCGUAGCAUGCCAAGAGCACCCCAGCCCUAAAUGCAGGGACACCCCCACCCCAAACUGCUCGGAGAGAAACGGCACCGGCACAGGGCUGAGCGCUCAGCGCUCCCGGGGGGCAGCGAAGCAGAGUGGGGCGAGG
rnacentral:lncRNA from 1 species